rnacentral:rRNA from 1 species
GAUCCUGGCUCAGGAUGAACGCUGGCGGCGUGCCUAACACAUGCAAGUCGAGCGAAGCGUUUUAAAGGAAGUUUUCGGAUGGAAUUUGAAAUGACUGAGCGGCGGACGGGUGAGUAACGCGUGGGUAACCUGCCUCAUACAGGGGGAUAACAGUUAGAAAUGACUGCUAAUACCGCAUAAGCACACAGUACCGCAUGGUACAGUGUGAAAAACUCCGGUGGUAUGAGAUGGACCCGCGU